ACCGAUAGUGAACCAGUACCGUGAGGGAAAGGCGAAAAGAACCCCGGCGAGGGGAGUGAAAAAGAACCUGAAACCGUGUACGUACAAGCAGUGGGAGCACGCUUAGGCGUGUGACUGCGUACCUUUUGUAUAAUGGGUCAGCGACUUAUAUUCUGUAGCAAGGUUAACCGAAUAGGGGAGCCGAAGGGAAACCGAGUCUUAACUGGGCGUUAAGUUGCAGGGUAUAGACCCGAAACCCGGUGAUCUAGCCAUGGGCAGGUUGAAGGUUGGGUAACACUAACUGGAGGACCGAACCGACUAAUGUUGAAAAAUUAGCGGAUGACUUGUGGCUGGGGGUGAAAGGCCAAUCAAACCGGGAGAUAGCUGGUUCUCCCCGAAAGCUAUUUAGGUAGCGCCUCGUGAAUUCAUCUCCGGGGGUAGAGCACUGUUUCGGCAAGGGGGUCAUCCCGACUUACCAACCCGAUGCAAACUGCGAAUACCGGAGAAUGUUAUCACGGGAGACACACGGCGGGUGCUAACGUCCGUCGUGAAGAGGGAAACAACCCAGACCGCCAGCUAAGGUCCCAAAGUCAUGGUUAAGUGGGAAACGAUGUGGGAAGGCCCAGACAGCCAGGAUGUUGGCUUAGAAGCAGCCAUCAUUUAAAGAAAGCGUAAUAGCUCACUGGUCGAGUCGGCCUGCGCGGAAGAUGUAACGGGGCUAAACCAUGCACCGAAGCUGCGGCAGCGACGCUUAUGCGUUGUUGGGUAGGGGAGCGUUCUGUAAGCCUGUGAAGGUGUGCUGUGAGGUAUGCUGGAGGUAUCAGAAGUGCGAAUGCUGACAUAAGUAACGAUAAAGCGGGUGAAAAGCCCGCUCGCCGGAAGACCAAGGGUUCCUGUCCAACGUUAAUCGGGGCAGGGUGAGUCGACCCCUAAGGCGAGGCCGAAAGGCGUAGUCGAUGGGAAACAGGUUAAUAUUCCUGUACUUGGUGUUACUGCGAAGGGGGGACGGAGAAGGCUAUGUUGGCCGGGCGACGGUUGUCCCGGUUUAAGCGUGUAGGCUGGUUUUCCAGGCAAAUCCGGAAAAUCAAGGCCGAGGCGUGAUGACGAGGCACUACGGUGCUGAAGCAACAAAUGCCCUGCUUCCAGGAAAAGCCUCUAAGCAUCAGGUAACAUCAAAUCGUACCCCAAACCGACACAGGUGGUCAGGUAGAGAAUACCAAGGCGCUUGAGAGAACUCGGGUGAAGGAACUAGGCAAAAUGGUGCCGUAACUUCGGGAGAAGGCACGCUGAUACGUAGGUGAAGCGACUUGCUCGUGGAGCUGAAAUCAGUCGAAGAUACCAGCUGGCUGCAACUGUUUAUUAAAAACACAGCACUGUGCAAACACGAAAGUGGACGUAUACGGUGUGACGCCUGCCCGGUGCCGGAAGGUUAAUUGAUGGGGUUAGCGCAAGCGAAGCUCUUGAUCGAAGCCCCGGUAAACGGCGGCCGUAACUAUAACGGUCCUAAGGUAGCGAAAUUCCUUGUCGGGUAAGUUCCGACCUGCACGAAUGGCGUAAUGAUGGCCAGGCUGUCUCCACCCGAGACUCAGUGAAAUUGAACUCGCUGUGAAGAUGCAGUGUACCCGCGGCAAGACGGAAAGACCCCGUGAACCUUUACUAUAGCUUGACACUGAACAUUGAGCCUUGAUGUGUAGGAUAGGUGGGAGGCUUUGAAGUGUGGACGCCAGUCUGCAUGGAGCCGACCUUGAAAUACCACCCUUUAAUGUUUGAUGUUCUAACGUGGACCCGUGAUCCGGGUUGCGGACAGUGUCUGGUGGGUAGUUUGACUGGGGCGGUCUCCUCCUAAAGAGUAACGGAGGAGCACGAAGGUUGGCUAAUCCUGGUCGGACAUCAGGAGGUUAGUGCAAUGGCAUAAGCCAGCUUGACUGCGAGCGUGACGGCGCGAGCAGGUGCGAAAGCAGGUCAUAGUGAUCCGGUGGUUCUGAAUGGAAGGGCCAUCGCUCAACGGAUAAAAGGUACUCCGGGGAUAACAGGCUGAUACCGCCCAAGAGUUCAUAUCGACGGCGGUGUUUGGCACCUCGAUGUCGGCUCAUCACAUCCUGGGGCUGAAGUAGGUCCCAAGGGUAUGGCUGUUCGCCAUUUAAAGUGGUACGCGAGCUGGGUUUAGAACGUCGUGAGACAGUUCGGUCCCUAUCUGCCGUGGGCGCUGGAGAACUGAGGGGGGCUGCUCCUAGUACGAGAGGACCGGAGUGGACGCAUCACUGGUGUUCGGGUUGUCAUGCCAAUGGCACUGCCCGGUAGCUAAAUGCGGAAGAGAUAAGUGCUGAAAGCAUCUAAGCACGAAACUUGCCCCGAGAUGAGUUCUCCCUGACCCUUUAAGGGUCCUGAAGGAACGUUGAAGA
rnacentral:rRNA from 1 species